rnacentral:lncRNA from 1 species
UUUCAAAGAAAUUAUUAUUUAAAUUAAAAUUAAUUAUUAUACUCUUAAUAUAAGAAAUAUUUCAAAGUAAUUGUUGUUUUAAAACUAAAAUUAAUUGUUAUACUCUUACUAUAAGAAAUAUUUUAAAGUAACUAUUGUUUUAAAAUUAGAAUUAAUUAUGUGUUUUUUUUUUUUACUAAGCAGGAUAUAUAUUAUAUUAGCAUCUUAACAAAAACUACAGCUGCACAUUGUGCAAUAUUUACAUAUCAUCGUAGGUAGCAAAGUAGUACUAGUAGGGAUAUUUACAAAAGCACUAGGCGAUAAAACUCCUAAAGCCUUCACCCUUAUAGUUAUGAAGUCUUCCCAUUUAUUUGCCCACAAAAAAUGUAACAGAUCCUGGGGAGGCUCCCAAAAAGUAGUAGCUACCGUUGCUGAGAUAGUAGUAGUUAAUGUGGAUGGUUGUGCAUCUACCGUUGCUGAGAUAGUAGUAGUUAAUGUGGAUGGUUGUGCAGUGAAGAUGGCUUUCCUUGCUAGGCUAUCAGCCAGCGGUAAAUGUUGGACUACCCAGUUGCUGCAGAAGGAACCUGCAAUCAGACAAUAGAGUAGAGACGUUAGUAGUCAUAGUUGCAUUAUUUAAUAAUGUAGAUAGUUGUUCCGCAUCAACAUUGAUUUCCAUAGGCUUCAGGUCAUGACUGACCGCAAGUUGCAAACCUACAAACAAAGCCUGUAGUUCAUGUAGAGCAAUAUCCUGAAAAGUUGUGUGUGCGGUAUAUCCCAUAACCCAUUCCCCUUUGUUUCGAAACACCCCUCCCAGGCCCCCAAUGUUGAGGUUGGAGGAAGAAGUAGCGUCCGUAUUGAGCAUUAGAUAGUUGGGUUGCGGAGGAUUCCAUUUUACAUACAAAGUAAAAAAUAUUAUGACGACUGUUUGAGUCUCCGGCGAAGUACCAGUAGUCUGUAGCUAGAUUUAAUGCAAGAUUUGUGGACGGGGCAAAACGUUGCCGGUGAAACAUGCAUUUGUUGCCGUCGACAAGCUGUAAGGGAUUAGGACAUGUAAGGGUACGAUGGAAGGUAAUUGCGCAUGUUUAUGAAGGUUGUUUUCUAGCCAAGCAGUAAACGAAGCAACAGAAUUUUGUGGCGGAGGCUGUAAUGUUAAGCUUAAGCUUGUGAUUAGGUCUUCCCAAAAGGAGAUGGCCACUGGACAAGAAGCAAAAAUAGGAGGAAUUGUUUCGGGAGUAGACUGGUUACAUAGGUUGCAGUUAGGCGAUUGAAGGCACGAUAUAUGGUGCAGAUAGGAAGAGGGAGGCAAACGAUUAAGUAAUAGCACGAUAUAUGGUGCAGAAUUAAUUAUGUUACUCUUCAUAUCAAAG